AAGUAUGUUCACCCUGUUGUCCACUAAGCUAUAAUUUUGGAGUUUCAUAUUAUUUUGAGUUGCUUUAUUUUAAAUCUCAUUCCUCUGAUAUUAGCAGAUGAUAGUCCUGCACUGGUCUUGUCUUUGCAGGGAGAAGGCAGAGAAGACGAAUGGACUCAUGAUCAUAGACAAAUCUCUUAAAAAAACAUUUACACAGUAACGAACUUCAGCUGCACUCAUCUACAAUGGUGUAGAUUGGCAGUGUGGCUUAAGGGCAAAGUACCUGCCUGCAACAAAAGAGUGCGGUGGAGGACACAGGCCUUUCAUCAGGUGGAUCUGAGAUCAAGGCCAGCCUGCUCUACUGGGCCUUACAUGAAUACCAAAGAAUAAAAAAAAGCAACUUUUUCAAUAUUUAUCCUCUGGAAGAGGAAGAAAAAGGAGGAGAAGAAACAGCAGCAGCAGCAACAGCAGCAGCAGCAGCACCACUUCCACUGCCCUCCCAGAACUCUGGGAUUCUUUUUAAGCAUAAAGAAAUAUGAGAAACUGUGACUACCAGCAGGGGCGUUGACUGUAACCCCAGCACCCAGGAGACUGAAACAGGAGGAGCAGCUUGAGGCUGGCACAGCUUUGUAGCAAGUCAGCUGGAGUGAGUGACCCAGUAUAAGACCCCAUCUCUAAAAACAAAAGCUAUCGUGUUCUGGACAGUGAAAUAUACCAUCUGCAAAUAAGGUAACUAACUUAAGCAUAAACAAAAGACUUUGCUUUACUUCAGAGUUGAAGAAUGACAUUUGUUAGCUCAAAUUAUGGAUAUUAAACUGCAGGCUUUCCUCUAGAACCCAACAUGAAACUGUUAAUCUUAAGGAAUUUCCAAUUUGGGAGUGCAAUGGUGCUAAGAGUUUACGAGGGUCCUAGGUUUAAGUAAAGAGGAAGAAGAAAAGGGGUACCCAUAGAAGAAAAGUUUGAAAAGCAGCAGAAGGGAAGAAGCUGAUGGAAUGUGAAGACUCCCUGGCAUUCCACAGAGGCUCUGGCUCUCAGCUAUUCUUCAGUUAAGUAUUUUCAUAAAGUUUAACAGAAGCACCAAGAACCCCAAACUUAAGGUCCCAAUCAUCAACCUGCUGACAGCCACUAAUGUAGCUCUCUCCAUAUUUCAUUUAUUUAUAAAGAGUAGUAAUACUGCCACCCAUCCCAGCAGUAUUUUCAGAAAGAAACACAAGGGAAUCUUUUACAAACUAAAAAAUCUUUUUUGGAAUUUCUGAACUUCAGUGGCAGUCCUGAAUGUAUCUUAAUAACACACCUGAACUUCACACUGGCCAUCACUAACACAGUUGUACACGUGCAAUGCAUCUCUCACAGCAGGAACCCACUAAGCAUUAAAGAAAAAAGCAAUUAAAACUAAUAAAA